CUUUUCCUGUCCUCUGGGUCCAGGCCAAUGUGAAGGUUUGAGGGAUGAUGAGGUGUCUGUGUGAAAAGAUCUUACUGAUGAUCCCAGUACUAAACCAACGUCAGCCGUCACACAUACAUAUAAAUAAAAAGCCUCUUUGAAGUUUGAUCUAUAAGAAGAAAUCGACAUGAACCAGAACUGGUUCACUGGCGAUAGAGAAUAUUCUUGGCUUUUAAAUGUCUCCAUCUUUGGUGCUCAGCUCUCAUUACUGUACUGUUUUUGAACUACACUUCACUUGUCGAUCAAUGUGACCUACCCUAAAGUUUGAUGAAUCAUUCCCAAUUACCUGCUGUUGCUGCUGCUGGCAGUGCAAAACACACCAUGCGCUCCAGAAGAUUUUAACCAGGGAAACUGCAAAAGUGGGUUUUUCAUUUAAUUUGGUUUUAAUUAUAAAUUCUCUGGAGCACAAUUUCUCGUGCCAAAAUCAAAAAUCCACUGAAAUAACAGGUAGAUGUCAUGGCAUUGCAUGUUUUCUUAAUAAUUCUGUAACUUUCAAAAUCUUUAAUUUAACCUUUCUCUGUAGUUUUUGAUUUCAUGAAAGGUGUGUGUGUUUUAGUAACAAAUCAAGCACACAUGGUAAUAGUGAAUUUUAAUAAUAUCAAUACCAAUUUUUUGGCAUGAACAUUUUUCAUUCAAAUGGAGAGUGAUUAUCACAAAAUAAACUUUUCACAGGUGACUUUAAGUGAUGAGUUAUUGUGGAGGCAAAGGUAUUGUUAAAAAGGCCAUUAUAUUCAUCAGAAUAAUAUGCCUUCUGAUAUAAAUCUCUCUCUCUGGUUGCCGAGAUUGAAUGAUUGACACACAGCAUCCAGCACAGCAGCCAAUCAGCGUUCACGGAUUGACGUGCAGGCGAUCAUCCCGCCCAUAGCGCUUAGUGCAAAGUUGAAAGCGAGUCCAGCGGAGCGCUGACACAGAUGCUGAACUUUUCUGUUUUAUAUCUUAUAUAGUUUUAUUCAUUGUUCGGGUGUUGUGCGUCUAUCGAAAUGGAGAAGUUCUGCAUCCUCCAUCGAGCCUGCCUCUGUCAUAGAUUCAUACAGCAGUGUGCCAAUACAAUUCAGAUAAAAAGCAGCAGCAGACCGAUCACUGGGAUGUUGCCGGGGCACUAUGGCUCCGACCUUUGGUUCCUCACUACUGGUUGCUUGUGAUGUUCAUGCUCAAGGAACUGAAACUUGAAUGUUGAGUGUAAAUGUAGAUGAACAUAGCGUAACAGACGCAGUAAGGCCUUGAUUAAACCCUUUUUGGGAGCUGCUGAGUGUGCUGCUUUGCUUUGGCUGGUGUCUUGCCCCCAAUCUCUUGCCACACACGCACACACACACACACACACCUCCAAUCCCAUCCCACAGGGCUCUGUCGCAGCCCAAACAUUAUUUCAGCUGAUUACGUGCCAAUUCCCAUCAAGAGCAGCCUGCAAGCUCUUCCACGCCCUGAUUAACACUAACCACCAUGCACUGCAAUGUCUUCAGUAUGUGUCUUUUUCCAUCAAUUCCUUGUCUUGCUUUCUUUUGUCUGUAUUUUACUGUUUCUUUUUAUCCACCUUUUAACUUCUAGCUUGUAUUGCACUCUCUCCAGGCUUCUUAUGUCCCUCUUUUCCAGUCAUUCUUCUUUUCUUUAUUCCUUUCUUAAUUUUUUCAAUUCAAUUCAAGUUUAUUUGUAUAGCACUAUAUCAUACAAAAGCAGGUCAGAGUGCUACACAUAAAAACAGCAUAAACUAGCAAAAAGCAAAUAAACAGAAACAUCCAUGCAUACAUACACAGAAAAAUACAUAUACAAAUACAAACAAGCAUACUGUACAAGUACGGUGUGUUCAUUUAAGAAAAAGCUCAAGUGAAAAGGAAGGUCUUUAGUUUGGUUUUAAAAGAACACAGUCGGAGCAAGUCUAAGAUCAGCAGGCAAAAAUAAAUACUGAAUGCCAUCUCACCGGACUUUCCACUUUGCGACAGAGAGAUUUGCUGGGGUUUUAAUUUGACAG